rnacentral:rRNA from 1 species
UACGUAGGUGGCAAGCGUUGUCCGGAUUUACUGGGCGUAAAGCGCACGUAGGCGGCUUACUAAGUCAGGGGUGAAAUCCUGGAGCUCAACUCCAGAACUGCCUUUGAUACUGGUGAGCUUGAGUCCGGAAGAGGUGAGUGGAACUGCGAGUGUAGAGGUGAAAUUCGUAGAUAUUCGCAAGAACACCAGUGGCGAAGGCGGCUCACUGGUCCGGUACUGACGCUGAGGUGCGAAAGCGUGGGGAGCAAACAGG